CCUACUGGUGGCAGCAGUGGGGCAUAUUGCACAAUGGGGUAAACCCUGAUGCAGCGACGCCGCGUGAGUGAAGAAGUAUUUCGGUAUGUAAAGCGCUAUCAGCAGGGAAGAAGAAAGACGGUACCUGACUCAGAAGCCCCGGCUGACUACGUACCAGCAGCCGCGGUAAUACGUAGGGGGCAAGCGUUAUCCGGAUUUCAUGGGUGUAAAGGGAGCGUAGACGGCUGUGCAAGUCUGAAGUGAAAGACCAGGGCUCAACCCUGGGACUGCUUUGGAAACUGUGGAGCUAGAGUGCUGGAGAGGUAAGUGGAAGUCCUAGUGUAGCGGUGAAAUGCGUAGAUAGUAGGAGGAACACCAGGGGCGAAGGCGGCUUACUGGACAGUAACUGACGUUGAGGCUCGAAAGCGUGGGGAGAAAACAGGAUUAGAUACCCUAGUAGUC
rnacentral:rRNA from 1 species